GCCAUUGCUAUUGGAGUUCGAUUUAGCCAUGCUAGUUGCACGAGUUUAGACUCGUGGCGGAAAGCUCAGUAACACGUGGUCAAACUACCCUAUAGACCAGGAUAACCUCGGGAAACUGAGGCUAAUCCUAGAUAACGCUCCCCUGCUGGAAUUGCAGGGAGCCGGAAAUGCUCCGGCGCUAUAGGAUGUGACUGCGGCCGAUUAGGUAGACGGUGGGGUAACGGCCCACCGUGCCGAUAAUCGGUACGGGUUGUGAGAGCAAGAGCCCGGAGAUGGAUUCUGAGACAGGAAUCCAGGCCCUACGGGGCGCAGCAGGCGCGAAAACUUUACACUGCACGACAGUGCGAUAAGGGAACUCCAAGUGCGAGGGCAUAACGUCCUCGCUUUUGUGUAUCGUAAGGUGGUACACGAAUAAGAGCUGGGCAAGACCGGUGCCAGCCGCCGCGGUAAUACCGGCAGCUCAAGUGAUGGCCAAUUUUAUUGGGCCUAAAGCGUCCGUAGCCGGCCAGACAGGUCCGUCGGGAAAUCUGCUCGCUCAACGAGCAGGCGUCCGACGGAAACCCGCUGGCUUGGGACCAGAAGACUCGAGGGGUACGUCUGGGGUAGGAGUGAAAUCCUGUAAUCCUAGACGGACCGCCGAUGGCGAAAGCACCUCGAGAGGAUGGAUCCGACGGUGAGGGACGAAAGCUAGGGUCACGAACCGGAUUAGAUACCCGGGUAGUCCUAGCUGUAAACGAUGCUCGCUAGGUGUGGCACAGGCUACGAGCCUGUGCUGUGCCGUAGGGAAGCCGAGAAGCGAGCCGCCUGGGAAGUACGUCCGCAAGGAUGAAACUUAAAGGAAUUGGCGGGGGAGCACUACAACCGGAGGAGCCUGCGGUUUAAUUGGACUCAACGCCGGACAUCUCACCAGCAUCGACAAUAGCUGUGACAGUCAGUGUGAUGAGCUUACUAGAGCUUUUGAGAGGAGGUGCAUGGCCGCCGUCAGCUCGUACCGUGAGGCGUCCUGUUAAGUCAGG
rnacentral:rRNA from 1 species